UGAAUCAUCCAGCCAGAUCAGUGCUGGAUAUGUACCUGUGAUGGAUUGCCACACAGCUCACAUUGCUUGCAAGUUUGCUGAGCUGAAGGAGAAGAUUGAUUGGAAGAGGGUC